UACUUCCACUAACUCAAACAGUCUCUAAAAAAUAGGACAACUAACAAUAAAUAAAAACAACCUAAUAACAACUAGUGACUAUCUUAUUAACUGACAACCUAAACAAUAAACUCGGUCAAGACCACAUGCAUGCUGGUGUUGUAUUUUAAUACGUCUCAGUUCACUGUUUUAGUGAAAUUAAUAUAUUGUACUUAUUAAAUAAAUAAUACUUAGAAAGAGUAAUGGGAUAGGGGAAGAGUGAUCUUUAGUUUAAGGAAUGGCAUUCUACAAUCAGCUGCAAGACAUCACACUGUUGGGCCUUCUUUUUGCUGUUAUUUGUCUAUGAGGAUCAUCAGUACUCAUGCCAGAAGCAACAAGGGCAAUUCCAGACCUCCAGAACCUACUGGGGCACCUUCAUCUUCUAGGAGCAAACAAGAUAUUACAUCAUACCCUUGGAGCCAUGGCCGAUAAAUAUGGACCUAUCUUCUCUUUGCAACUAGGGAUUCACAACAUACUUGUGGUUAGUAGCUGGGAAGCUGCAAAAGAAUGCCUUACAACCCAGGACAAAGCUUUCUCUAACCGUCCAAAAUCUUUAGCCAUAAAGAUCAUGGGAUAUGACCAUACCAUCCUUGGAUUUCUGCCUUAUGGACCAUAUUGGCGUGAUAUGCGUAAGCUAGCAAUUGUUGAGCUUCUAUCCACCCGUCGACUUGAUAUGCUUAAGCAUGUUCGGGAAUCAGAGGUCAAUAUUUCCAUCAGGGAGCUGUAUGAGCAAUGGAUAAGCAAUGAAAGAUGUGGAAGCAAAGUUGUGGUAGAAUUGAAACAGAGUUUUGGAUACCUGGCAACGAACAUAGUCGUGAGGAUGGUGGCAGGAAAGCAAUAUUUUGGAACUGGUGUGCAUGGAGAUGAGGAGUCGAGGCGGAGCUAAAAGGCCAUCGGAAAUUCAUGCAUCUGGUGUAGGUGACUAGAGAAGCGUCCGUGCCUACGCUGUUUAGUUGGUAAUUCCCACUUGACAGCUUUCUAGGCGGAUAAUUUUUUUGCAAAAAUUAAGAAAACACCUUACAUAAGAUCAAAAUACCAGAUAUUAUCCAACUAAAAUUGAAAACUUACCAGCCCUCGUAUCUGCAUCAUGGGUCAGUUGUGAGCUCUCCAAACGUGUUGCUGCUACAUAAAUUCAGUGUUUAUGAUCAGUCAAGUCAGCUUUUAAAUACAUCAAUCUACAUGUUUAUGGCACCAGCAGCACCUGAACUAAUCAAUUACAGACCACAGUUAGAUAGGCAUACUCAUAAUUGAAUUGAGAAGGCAGAACAAUGUUCAUUGCUGCUACGUAUUUGUUAUCUCAGAAAAUAUUAUUCUGCCACACCUCGUCACUCCAAUCGGCAUUCAGCUUGUCUAAAAAAGUUGGAAAAUAAUUUUUUUGCAUAUAAAACAGAAAAUUUCUUAGAAAGAAGAAGAGCUACAAAGGAGGACAACAAGUCUGCCAAACAAAACAAAGCUAAGGGCAAAUGAAGAGCAUUCCAUCAGGAUCCGUUUACCAUGAAGUUAACUUUAUAGUAAGUUGGUCAAUUGAUCAAUACAAUGUUGGCAUGCAGACAAAGAUCAUCUCCCGACUUGUGUGUCAACACUGUAUUGGUUAAUUGACCAAAGUUAAACUUCAUACUAACCACUCCCAUCCCAUCAACCUUUAUGAACAUCCCACAAUGUCAUUGCUAACAUACAAGUAACACAAAUCAAAUCAAGGAAAGAAAAUCUAUCUCAAAGCAUAGGAAGAGAAAGGUAACCAUCCUUAAAAACUCUAGCACUUUUCUACUGAUAAAUGGUCAACAAAGCACAAACCUCAAAGCUACUUGAUCCUUAGAAUUGACAAACCUAUAUAUAUAGACCUGAAAAUUUUGUUUGAGAACCAAAAUCAGUUGGAUCUAUUAAGUUAUGGGUUGGAACUAGUUUAACUAGUUUUGACCCAUAUUAGUCUAUAAUAAAAUAUGGGUUGAAACUAGUUUAACUAGUGUUUUCUGUCAUUUAGUAGUUUAACUAGUUUUGACCUAUAUUAGUCUAUAUAUCUAAGGUGCUGUUUGUUUAGAGCUGAAUGGAGCUGAAUCUGAAUGGCUGAAUCGGUCAGUGCGUUUGUUUUGGUCUGAAUGGCUGAAUCGGUAAGAUGGAUGAGUUGAAUCGCUAAGUCAAUUUUUUUUAGCUGAAUGGCUGAAUGAGAAGCUGAAUGAAGUAAAAAUAAAUAAAAAAAUAUAUUAACUAUUAUAUUAAGUAAUAUUAAAUAAAUUUACAACAAUUUGAAUUUUUUCAGAAGGGUCAAAUAAUAAAAUUUUGUCAUUUAGAUAUUUCAGACAUGUCAAUUAUCAAACAACUUUUUUCAUUAUUCAUUCAAUUUUUAUCAAACAUAAAACAUCCCCUAACACUCCAAGGAAAUGGGCCGACCCAAUCCUCCUUCAUAGUCCCAAAUAAAUAAUUGCACAAUCCUCUUACAAUUCAACAAUGAGACUCAGAGACUUUCUGCCACCAACAACUUUCAUCGGAUCAUUGGACUAUUGAAUUAGUUUAUUUGAAAAUUUGGUUAUAGAUCAAGACUACAGUUGAAUGAAAAUGUUAGCAAACUAAACCAAAUUAAUAAAGUCUUUUAGAUUGUUGAUGAAUUGUCUCUAAGAAAUUGUUGGUUCUUUGUAUUGUCUCUUUGAUUCCUUGUGUGACUCUUUGAGAAUUGUAAAAGUAUUUAUUGAAAGUGUAGGACGCAUUAAUAGAAUUAUGUAUGUUCAUAUUCCUUUGAACUAUAAAUACCUCUCAAUCUCAUGUAAUCAGUUGGCAGCAAGUGAGUUGAAUCAAGUGUUUUAAGGGUUAAACACUCUUCAUCGCUUCUCUAUUUUUAUCCUUAAUUACCAAUAGAAAGAAAUUACUGAAAGUGAUGAUUAUUAAGUCUUAAAAGCGUACACGCAAACUUCCACCAUCUUGUUUUUAGACACUGCAUCUAUGGAAUUUGAUAGCAAUGGUUCAUGUAUUUUCUUUUUAUGAUAAGGAUAUCUUUAGUAAUCGAGGAUUCACAAGGAAAGAGAAACAUAGAUUUUGAAGAUAGGUAGCCUUGUUCAAAGAUGGGAGGAAAUAUCAUCAUAGAUGUCAUUAUUAUUGCACUAGAAUCCAUUUUUGAUUGAGAACAUACAUACCAAGAAGUCAGAUACGUCUUUAGUAAUCGAGGAUUCACAAGGAAAGAGAAACAUAGAUUUUGAAGAUAGGUAGCCUUAUUCAAAGAUGGGAGGAAAUAUCAUCAUAGAUGUCAUUAUUAUUGCACUAGAAUCCAUUUUUGAUUGAGAACAUACAUACCAAGAAGUCAGAUACGUCUUAGUCUGUCUAACGUCGGACCCCUUGUUUUCUGUCUUUAUUUGGCGUGUGUGUCAAUCCAAUGUUUAACAAAAAUUAAUAAACUACACUCGUCAUAUAUUUAUAUAUAGGGGAAUAGUUAUUCCUAGUUAAAGGAAUGGCAUUCUACAUUAAGCUGCAAGAUAUCACUCUGGGUGGCCUUCUUUUUGCUGUUAUUUUUCUAUGGAGGAUCAUCAGUAGCCAUGCCAGGAGCAGCAAGAGCUACUCCGGACCUCCAGAACCUGCUGGGGCAUGGCCUUUUAUAGGUCACCUUCCUCUUCUAGGAGUAAACAGGAUAUUACAUCAAACCCUUGGAGUCAUGGCCGAUAAAUAUGGACCUAUCUUCUCUUUGCAACUAGGGAUUCACAAAACUAUUGUGGUCAGUAGCUGGGAAGUUGCUAAAGAAUGCUUUACAACCCAUGACAAAGUCUUCCCCACCCGUCCAAAAUCUCUAGCAGGAAAACUCAUGGGCUAUGACCAUUCAGUCUUUAUAUUUCUGGCUUAUGGUCCAUACUGGCGUGAUACACGUAAGCUAUUAAUAGUUGAGCUUCUAUCCAACCAUCGACUUGAUGUGCUCAAGCAUGUUCGGGAAUCAGAGGUCAAUAGUUUUGUCAGGGAGAUGUAUGAGCAGUGGAUAAGCAAUGGAGGAGGUGGAAGCAAAGCCGUGGUGGAAAUGAAAGAGAGGUUUGGAUACCUGACAAUGAACGUAAUAUUGAGGAUGGUGGCAGGCAAACGAUAUUCUGGCACUGAAGUGUAUAGCGAUGUGGAGGCGAGGAAGUUCCAAAAGGCAUUGGGGGAUUUCGUUCAUUUGGCGGGGUUGUCUAUGGUUUCUGAUGCAGUUCCCUUAUUUGGUUGGAUAGAUGCAUUGAGAGGAUACACAGGUGAGAUGAAGAAUACAGCUAAGGAGAUCGAUCAUAUACUUGGAAGGUGGCUG
rnacentral:lncRNA from 1 species